rnacentral:rRNA from 1 species
GAUCCUGGCUCAGGAUGAACGCUAGCGGCAGGCUUAACACAUGCAAGUCGAGGGGCAGCAUUCGGGUAGCAAUACCUGAGAUGGCGACCGGCGCACGGGUGCGUAACGCGUAUGCAACCUACCCAUAACAGGGGCAUAACACUGAGAAAUUGGUACUAAUUCCCCAUAACAUUCGAAGAGGCAUCUUUUCGGUUGGUAAAACUACCGGUCGGUUAGUUGGAGUGGGCGAUGCGUUGUUAUUAGUCUGGUUGGG